rnacentral:snoRNA from 1 species
AUUUGUAAUGAAGAGAUAAUUUUUGCAUCUUUUCUGGCAACCUCUUAUGUCAGAGACGCUGUUUCUGGCGUCUCAGUGAUCUAAAUGGACUCCUGAUA